GAUGAACGCUGGCGGCGUGCCUAAUACAUGCAAGUCGAGCGAAGAGACGAGGAGCUUGCUCCUCUGACGUUAGCGGCGGACGGGUGAGUAACACGUGGAUAACCUACCUAUAAGACUGGGAUAACUUCGGGAAACCGGAGCUAAUAUCGGAUAAUAUAUUGAACCGCAUGGUUCAAUAGUGAAAGACGGAAUUGCUGUACCACAUAGUUGGCUCCGCGUCGCUUUAGUAAGUGGGUAAGGUAACGGUUUCCCAAGGCAAGGUAGAUUAGCCGACCUGGGGGGGGGAUCGGCCACACGGGAACUGGAACACGCUCCAGACUCCUACGGAGGGCAGCGUUAGGGAAUUUUCCGCAAUGGGCGAAAGCUUGACGGGGCAACGCCGCGGGGUUGAGGAAGGUCUUCGGAUCGUAAAACUCGUUUAUUGGGGAGGAACAAAGGUGUAAGUAACUAUGCACGUCUUGACGGUACCUAAUCAGAAAGCCACGGCUAACUACGUG
rnacentral:rRNA from 1 species